rnacentral:rRNA from 1 species
GACAGAGGUGCCAAGCGUUAGGCGGAAUUACUGGGCGUAAAGCGUGCGCAGGCGGUUGUGCAAGACAGAUGUGAAAUCCCCGGGCUCAACCCUGGGAAUUGCAUUUGUGACUGUACGGCUAGAGUGUGUCAGAGGGGGGUAGGAAUUCCACGUGUAGCAGUGAAAUGCGUAGAGAUGUGGAGGAAUACCGAUGGCGAAGGCAGCCCCCCUGGGAUAACACUGACGCUCAUGCACGAAAGCGUGGGGAGCAAACAGG